CUCGAGGGGAAAUUUUGUCGACGUAUUUGCAUUCAUUAUUUACCAAAGCUCCGCGGAUUGUUUAAACUUAAUUUGAUAUGUAAAUUAAACAUGUAUUAGCUGUGACUGAAUUAGCUGAUUAAGCGUCAAAUGAGAUUUCUGAAGUUGUGAAUUUGGCACUUGCGGUUGGAUUUGCUGACUUUGAUCAGCGUUGAAAGAAUCGACAGCACUGGUUAACAUAUCGUGACGUCAUGUCCGACGAUGCUGAUAUGGAUCAGCGGCGGGGUAGUGAGCAAGGGCUGCAGAAAUCUCGCACCGAAAACGAGUUUCUCGUGAAAAUUGGCGCCAAAGAAGAGGAGUUUGAGUGGGAACCCAAAAUUGUAAACGAACGACUGCGUCGCUCGUCAUCGUUCGUCUGCGCCUAGUACGACAAACCCGCGUGCUUUCGCGCCAAACCGAAAACUGCAGCAG